CGGCGAGUGAGCGGCAAAGCUCAAUUUGAAUCUGGCACCUUCGGUGUCCGAGUUGUAAUUUGAAGAAGGUAACUUUGGAGUUGGCUCUUGUCUAUGUUCCUUGGAACAGGACGUCACAGAGGGUGAGAAUCCCGUGCGAUGAGAUGCCCAAUUCUAUGUAAAGUGCUUUCGAAGAGUCGAGUUGUUUGGGAAUGCAGCUCUAAGUGGGGUGGUAAAUUCCAUCUAAAGCUAAAUAUUGGCGAGAGACCGAUAGCGAACAAGUACAGUGAUGGAAAGAUGAAAAGAACUUUGAAAAGAGAGUGAAAAAGUACGUGAAAUUGUUGAAAGGGAAGGGCUUGAGAUCAGACUUGGUAUUUUGCGAUCCUUUCCUUCUUGGUUGGGUUCCUCGCAGCUUACUGGGCCAGCAUCGGUUUGGAUGGUAGGAUAAUGACUAAGGAAUGUGGCUCUACUUCGGUGGAGUGUUAUAGCCUUGGUUGAUACUGCCUGUCUAGACCGAGGACUGCGUCUUUUGACUAGGAUGUUGGCAUAAUGAUCUUAAGCCACCCGUCUUGAACCCACGGA
rnacentral:rRNA from 1 species